GUUUUGUAGUUCUGCUAUCGGUAUUCCACAUCAUAACAUCAUGGACAAAAGGAAGAAGAACUAUGUAUCCCAGAGGACCUCACAGUCAGAGAAGGAAGAUACAUCGUAGAAGCUACGUCAUCCGGUUGCGCACGGUCUUUUUCACUUUCGCUUGCUGCCAGGGAGAGGAGUGGGUGUGCUUCCAAGCCGUGCACCUUCAUCAGGGAAGCAUGGAGAUGCCAGAGCAAAUCCACUGAAGAGCCACAAAGACUAUUAAGAGCUCGUUGCAUCUGUCAUAAAAGGAGAGCCUGAGAGAGCUGUUUGUUCAGCCUGGAGUACAAGAGGCUCAGACAGGUCUUAUCAGUGUAUACAAAUACCUGAUGGGAAAUUUCAACCUCAGUGACUCUGGAAUUCUGUGUUCUGAUCGUUGUUUCACACAUCAGUGUUGGAACAUUCUGCUAAUAAUAAAGUUCAUAAGCAACCAAUGACAUGGGCUGUAGCUGCUGAAGCUAAACUUCUAAGUAAUCCUAAAUGGAAAGAAGAAAAUUGUUCCUGACAAGCUGAAAUUACAUUAUAAAGCCUUCCAUAUUUUGAAAAGCCGUGAGUUGUCCUAGGCAUGGAGCUUAUUUCAGUGUUUAAUGAAACCUGUUUAUAAAGAAAAUAUCUUCCCCGAUAUCAGUUUUCAAAAACGUGUCUCUUAACCCCUGUUUUUUGUUGUUGUUGUUGUUGUUUGUUUUUUGUUUGUUUCUAUUCGUUGUUGGCAUGGAGACAAAGAGGUGCUCCACUACACUGAUCAAUGCAUGGUAUUAUCAACAUAACAUUUUCAGUCAAGUUCCCAGGAGCCUUCCUCCUGAAUCUGUCAUUUUGAUUCAGAUAACUAAAUCAGGCUAAGCACUGCAAUGAUAAUGGAUGACUUGCCUCAUUAGCCGUCUCCUGCUGCUUUACUCUGUCAGGAAGCACCACUGUGACUGUCUGGAUUCCUGGGGAAGGUUUGUCUUAGAGGUAGCUGGUCUUGGAAGGAUCUCAAGAGAGAAUGAGAAGAAUUCUCAACAAAAACAAUCACUAUGACCAAUUCAGAGAUGUCUCAUUGUUUCACAAUCUAUGGUAAACAUUGUUACCUGGACUUUUAGAGGAACAUGAGAGAAGAAAUUACAGAAAUAAUAUAUGCUAGCAAAAAGAUGUGUUUUUUGUCCAUAGAAUAUUCAUCAUGGACCUUUGAACAUUUCUUCUCACAGUGUGUAUAUCUUGAAUAUACACUGAAGACUCAAAGGUUGCCUGAUACAGUACUGAGAAUGGAUGAAAAUUUGUGUGCUUAUUCAGUGUAUUCAAUCAUGAUAUGAAUUUUCAUUCUGGAGUGGCAAGACUCAAGUUCUCCUACAUUUCUGACAGGUUUCAUCACAAAGACUGAGAUAGAAUCAGGUGCUCCAGGAAGUGAAGAGCUGUAAGACUUGGCUUUUUUUUUCCUUAUAGCUUUUUCUCCUAGGAGAGCAAUAGCUCGCCUUUUGCUCAACAGCCUUAUGUUCCCAUUCCCAUUUCAAGGUAUGUAGUUCUUCUUGUAAAGGGAGCAUAGAAAGUUUCUAAUCUUGGGUAAUACUUGAAUUUAGAUGUCUUCAUCCUUUACUGUAAACCUAAUAUACACUGACUAAUAUCAAAAUUCACCAAUGGUGUUUUUUUUAAGGCAUUCAUAUUUAUUUCUAUAUUCUGAAAAAAAGGCAUUCAUUCAGCUACAUCAGUCCUACUGGAUUUUAAUCCCUGGGACUUACUUACAUCUGAGGAUGUAUUUAUGUUUCUUCAAGAUCAGGACUCAGACCUUUCAGAGGUGACUGAAAUGGUUACACAGAUGUCACAGUAAAUUUUUAAAUCAUUACUAUAUUUUCUGUCACAAACUCAAGAAUUUUUAUUUCUUUCUUUGUACAGUUUUUAUAUGUGAUACUGUCCUUACAGUUAUUGGACACUGUUUCAGUGAUUUUGUUGAAGAAGUUACGUAUGUGUAUCUUCUAAUACCUUGUGUUCUCUAAUGAAUUUAAAUCUAUUCUGCUACCAUUUCUGGAAUGCAUCAUACAGACAAAUGAUUGGUUAGAUUUGACAGAGGAAAAUGAAGUAUACUUGACAUAAAGUGUCAGUAUAGUACUGGCAAUAAUUUUACGUAUAGCUGAGAAGAUGAUUUACCUGUUUUCAACUAUAUUCAUUUAUUUCCUGUUUAUGAUUAUAAAUAAGUUUCAGAUGUUUCUCCUCCCUUCCCUUCCUUUCCCCUUCUCACUUCUCCCCACUUCUACUCCCUUCCCCUCCCUUCUCCUUGCCUCUUGUUGCCUUUUCUCUUUUCUCCUUGUAUCUCCUCACCUCUAGCUUUGCCCCACCUUGCCUUGCCUCACUUUUCUCUGUUCUCACCUUUGCUGUCCUGCCAAGCCCUGGAGCAUUUUUGAAAUACAGAAUCUAACAACACCAAAAACUUGCAUUUCCUAAAGCAGUGAGAAAAUAAAAAUAUUUUAAUUGUUGCAUACUCAGCACUUAAUGAAAAAAAGGAAGAAAUUAGAGCUUAACUAAAAAAUGUUCACAGUAUCCAUAAAAGUCCCACUUAAAAAUGGAUGAAAUGUUUGUUAAGUGUUAGAUAGCUAUUACAUAGCAAUAGAUACCUAUACUGUAGCAACACACAAAUGUCAAUCAAUUUUAAGGUAGUAAAGCAUUAUUAAUAGAUAAACACUACCUUUCUAUUGGUUAGAUUAUAGAAUGAGAGAUUAGACGUAACUGCCAAAUACUCCACCAAUCAAAGCAAACUGUUUGUAACAAUGCAUUUGUCAAGAAUUUUCAUCCAACAUUAAUAGGUAAAGAGUAUGUGGAACUGGAAACUUUAAGUACAUUGCAUUUCUCUGAAAUUUCCAAGCUUAAUGUAGUAACAGCACCUCAUACCUUCUUUUAUUUUCAAGUUAUGUUGCACAACAAAAUCAAAUCAGUUGAUAAACGGACAUGACACUACGUUUUGAUCAGUUUCAAGUUUAGGAGCUUUGAAUUAGCAACAAACUAUUCUGGAAAAAUGGAGAAAAAUUAACCUUUCUUAAGGACACUGUUCUCACUGUCUCAGAAACUAUCAAUGAGGUUAUCUCUGGUAUGGAUGGCUGCAUCUCUGAUGGUUUAGCAACUUGAAAAAAAGAUCCUAAGUGUUAGAUGUAUGGAUGCACACAUUUAAAAUCUUUCAUUCUUUUUACUCUGACACACAAUAAGGUUUUAGGUAUUUAUUCUCACUUCUUUUUUUUUUUUUUCAAGUUUUUUUUAGAUUUAUACUUUCUCAGACAUGAUACAAAAAUCUUUUGAUGCAGAAUUGCAACAAAGACAGUGGGAGUUGUCAACUUAACAUAAGGCAUCUAAGUCUUAAGUAUUUUUUUAAGUGUAUCUUCAAUUGACUCCAUAUAAUUUGGAAGAAAAUUCCCUGCACCUAAGCAAUAUUUAAUUUCUGCAAAAUAGCUUUGGGAAAAGCAAGGUUGUUCUGUUGGCUUUAUACAGAACAUAAUGAUCCUAGGUAAGAUGACUGCGUGUUCUCUUGGGAUCAAGUCAGAAUUUUCCACUUUCUUUAACAAAGGAAGUUCAUGUGUAAUCAAUGCUGAUAGCAUUAAAUGAAGCACUCAUUCUCUCUCUCAUUUUUUUCCUAACCGAUUUCAGAAUCACACUGAAAAAAAAUGACAAAAUACAAGAAAAUCAAUGAAUCAACUUCCCUAGGCUUCAAAGGAAGAUGUGAAUGGAAAAGCAAAGGUGCUUCUACUAGUAUUAGCAAAUGUAAUGUAUGUUGUCACCUAGUAGAAAUAGCAAUUUGUCAAAAUUAACUUUUUCACUGGAAAAGCAAAAAUUUCGAUAUAUUAUUCUGAAGAAAUUAGAUCUAUAGUGCAUGCACUGUAAAGGCAGACCAUAGAUCUACAGUAAGUCCGAUAUGCUCUUGCAAUAAUAAUUUAAAAAAAAAUUGUUGACGUGUGCAAUUGAUUUGAACUUCUGUGAAAACCAAUCAGACACCUACAUCUCAUUUGUUGGAUAAGUAUUCCAAGUCAGAGAAAAAUGUGCACCUGAUUACUCUGUAGAACAGGCAGUCUGAAUUAAUUUAAGUGAAUUAGCACCUGUUUUGAAUGUUCCCUUUGUUAGUAUUUAAGUAAGAAUUCUUAUUUUUCUGAUUUUCAUAUGAUAUUUAGCUGAGAAAUUGCAGUAUAGUCAUUGAAAAUGACUGUCACUGAACUAAAUAUUUCAUAAUUAUUAAUAUUUUGUCACAUUUUUUCUCUUUUACUUUCCAUUACAAUUUAAUAAAAAAGUUCUAAAAUCCUUCCGUUUUCACCAGAUAUAAAACAUUUCUAUUUUUAAUCUUACGUUCAAUGACAGCAACAAAUCUAAGCUGAAAGCAUUCUCAGGAAUGUUACAUUGUAUUCAGGUAAGUGUUGUAUUUUCAGUCAUACAAGGGGCUGAAAGCAUAAAUAUAUACUAUUAAUUGCAAACUAAGGAAAUCUCUUCAGGUUUCCAUGUUAAAAUAGUUACUAAACAGAAAACUUUUUGGUGCACUAUUUGAUUUAGGAAAAUAAAAUGAGCAAAUUCAGUCUUUCUUGAUGCAUCUCUACAUACUUCAUACUGUAGUAGUGUUAAAAAUACUUUACAUCUUUUUGUACUGCGGAGAAUUCUUGUUAAUUACCCAUAAUUCAGGUGUUAAUUGGAGUUCUUUAGUGCUUUAUUUGAAUAAAGGUUUUCAUACACUUAAUCUAUUGCAGACAUUGAAACCUGGUGACAAUCAUUAAUCAAGAAAUGAGAGGAAGCUCAGGCGAGACCUUAUUGCACUCUACAACUUCCUGAAGGGAGGUUGUGAUGAGGAGAGGUUUGGCCUCUUCUCAGGCAACAAACAGGACCCAAGGAAAUGGC